rnacentral:lncRNA from 1 species
AUGCUACCUUGGGCCCUUAUAAUCAGCUAAUGCUCCCUGUUUUAAGUGCUUGCCAUUUGUUUUAUUUUGGGAGAAGAGAAAGAGGCAAAGUGUAGGUGAGAGAGAGGUUACCUCUUCUCAAAUAUUUCCAUCUGUCAUGAAUCUUAGUAUCUUAGGCAAUCAUUGUACAGUGCUGUAAGCUGCAGCAACUUUGCAUGAGAGAAAAUAUCAAAUUCUCUCCUGGAUGGGUCCAAACCAGGUGAUUUACCCUGGGUUAGAUUCAUGUUUUUUUAGUUCAUCCCUGGCAUACAUAUAGAUGGAAACCUGCAUGGUUCCAGAAUUGGUCUUCAAACUAGACAUAGACCUGUUGGGUAGGGGGCCUUUUAUAGUCAUUACCUUUUGGUGUGCCAAAGAAAAGUGGGAAUGUUCAAGAAAUUUUUGGCAAGUUGUUCUUGUGGGUUUCCAGUACAUGUGCCUCCAGAAUGGAUAUCAUCACAAGUUUGUGAUUGGAAAUUUAAGUAAUACCUAAGGUCUGGUGAAAAAUGAAUUUAUAUCUUUUAUUAUUACUCAGGGAUACAUUUCAUACCCUUUUUGGUCAAGCCUAGCAAUUGAAUCAAAUGGUUGAGUACUAUGUUUUUUAAAACAUUUAAAAGUACCUUAUGGUACAGUGAGACAAUCU